rnacentral:rRNA from 1 species
GUAGGGUGCGAGCGUUGUCCGGAUUUAUUGGGCGUAAAGGGCUCGUAGGUGGUUGAUCGCGUCGGAAGUGUAAUCUUGGGGCUUGACCCUGAGCGUGCUUUCGAUACGGGUUGACUUGAGGAAGGUAGGGGAGAAUGGAAUUCCUGGUGGAGCGGUGGAAUGCGCAGAUAUCAGGAGGAACACCAGUGGCGAAGGCGGUUCUCUGGGCCUUUCCUGACGCUGAGGAGCGAAAGCGUGGGGAGCGAACAGGGCUUAGAUACCCUGGUAGUCCACGCUGUAAACGGUGGGUACUAGGUGUGGGUCCAUUCCCACGGGUUCCGCGCCGUAGCUAACGCUUUAAGUACCCCGCCUGGGGAGUACGGCCGCAAGGCUA